AGGGUUCGAUUCUGGCUCAGGAUGAACGCUGGCGGCGUGCUUAACACAUGCAAGUCGAACGGGAUCCCAGGAGCUUGCUCCUGGGUGAGAGUGGCGAACGGGUGAGUAAUGCGUGACCGACCUGCCCCAUACACCGGAAUAGCUCCUGGAAACGGGUGGUAAUGCCGGAUGCUCCAGUUGGAUGCAUGUCCUUCUGGGAAAGAUUCUAUCGGUAUGGGAUGGGGUCGCGUCCUAUCAGCUUGAUGGCGGGGUAACGGCCCACCAUGGCUUCGACGGGUAGCCGGCCUGAGAGGGCGACCGGCCACAUUGGGACUGAGAUACGGCCCAGACUCCUACGGGAGGCAGCAGUGGGGAAUAUUGCACAAUGGGCGCAAGCCUGAUGCAGCGACGCCGCGUGCGGGAUGACGGCCUUCGGGUUGUAAACCGCUUUUGACUGGGAGCAAGCCCUUCGGGGUGAGUGUACCUUUCGAAUAAGCACCGGCUAACUACGUGCCAGCAGCCGCGGUAAUACGUAGGGUGCAAGCGUUAUCCGGAAUUAUUGGGCGUAAAGGGCUCGUAGGCGGUUCGUCGCGUCCGGUGUGAAAGUCCAUCGCUUAACGGUGGAUCCGCGCCGGGUACGGGCGGGCUUGAGUGCGGUAGGGGAGACUGGAAUUCCCGGUGUAACGGUGGAAUGUGUAGAUAUCGGGAAGAACACCAAUGGCGAAGGCAGGUCUCUGGGCCGUCACUGACGCUGAGGAGCGAAAGCGUGGGGAGCGAACAGGAUUAGAUACCCUGGUAGUCCACGCCGUAAACG
rnacentral:rRNA from 1 species